AUGGCUGUCGGCAGAGUGUGACUGCCAGGGGUUGAAGUGCAAAGCUUCCAGUGAAAUUUUCCAACGGAAAUCCACGCUUCGUGAACUCCAUGGAACCCUUCUGCCAUGCAUCACGCACACCAUUCAAAACAAUCACUGCCACCAACCUGUGGGCUGAGGGCGCUGCUGGUGCCAGAGAAGAUGGGGAUCUCACCGUGAUCGCUGAUGCCUGGUAAGUAUGAUCUCAACUGAAUUGUAGGGGAGCCCCCGUGUCUCAUCAGACUCCUCGGAUGAGGAACCUGGCACCUAGG
rnacentral:lncRNA from 1 species